UACGUAGGGUGCGAGCGUUGUCCGGAAUUAUUGGGCGUAAAGGGCUCGUAGGCGGUCUGUCGCGUCGGGAGUGAAAACUCAGGGCUUAACCCUGAGCCUGCUUCCGAUACGGGCAGACUAGAGGUAUGCAGGGGAGAACGGAAUUCCUGGUGUAGCGGUGGAAUGCGCAGAUAUCAGGAGGAACACCGGUGGCGAAGGCGGUUCUCUGGGCAUUAACUGACGCUGAGGAGCGAAAGCAUGGGGAGCGAACAGG
rnacentral:rRNA from 1 species